rnacentral:lncRNA from 1 species
UUUUUACCUUUUUGACUUUUUUAUUAUUUGAGGUGGUACAUUUUUUUGCGAAAAGAAAAAAAUGAAGUGCUUAUGGGCUUGCUCGGCAUCAAAUUUUCUCUCCUCAUGGGCCUGCUUGUUCUGCUCGCGAUCGAAGCCACGACCUUCACUUUACAUCCAAAAGCUUAUGACCAAGAGACAUGGCUUUCAGUUAUGUCGGAAUACUGGGUUCUUUUGUUUAAUAGUCC